CCUGUUUUCUGGAUACUACAAACGUAAAGAUCUGACUAGGGAGGUUAUGAUUGAUGGAUGGUUUCACACAGGACAAUUGCUUUGCAGAUAAAAAAGGUGGAGGGAGAUGGGCAUAUUGCUUGUUAAGGAAGGGAGCAAAAAGUUGAGAUUUCCUCUUUCGUGAAAAUUGGUUCCCCCUCUUCAGUUUUUGCAUAAUAAACAGAAAAAAGAGCCGCAUGUGAACGUGACAUUGUUUUGACUCGUUUCUUUUAAUUUCAACUCUCACCUCUCUCUCCUCGUUC